AAUCGAGAUUGAGAAAUAAACCAAUAAUUCAAAAGUGCUCAUGAUUCAGUGUUCCACUGGUGGAAAAAGAGCGAAAAGCAGUGUUUGGGUGCUGACAAUUUUCAAAGUGUGGACCCACUAUCACGUGUUCUCUCCGGAAGAAGAGAAAGAGGUGGAAAAGGGGGGAUUCAUUUCCAAAAGUUUCCUACACACUGCCAUCACGCGACCCCCAUCCUCUUUCCAUGACACUUCCUGGAAACAAAAGCAGAACAUCUGAGACAGAACCAUCAAAGUUUAAUAAUUUUCUAUACCCACUUUUAAUACUUCAUCCUCAUACGGUUCCCAUUCAAGCAUCUUGUUCUAUCAUCUGCACUAUCCCAAGAGUUUGUUUGAUUUCUGCAUGCCUUGCUCUUCUUUUUACUCAACAAGACCUACCCUUCCAUUUUAUUGUCCUUCAUUUUCCCACUUUUCUUUGAACUCCGAGAACAAAAACAUCUUUGUUGUUUAACUCUAACAAAAAAAAAAAACAAAAAAAAAGUUAAUCUCUUAAAUUACUUUAGUUUGAUCCUUGUUACCUACUUUUCCUUUCCUUAAUUUUGAUUUCCCUAUCUCCGGAGUUGGUGAAGUCAUUCCAUCCCAAUUGAGUAUUUUCGAUUCCAAGUUGGUCAGUCAGCAAUCUAUUCUCUGGUGAUUCACAUUUUCAUAAAGGUGAAGUCCGUUAAGUCUUUCAUUACCGUGUUAGUUUGCUUGCAUUUCCCUGUCAUCUGCUUUAGAUUCAUUUCAACCAAGUUGUAGAUCCAUGGCGGAAUCAAUUUUAUUCGGGGCACUCAGUAACAUCUUUUCCAAGUUGAUGUGGCUUGCUGGGCAAAAGAUUGGCUUGAUUUUCUGGCAGAAAGGCGAACUGGAUAAGCUUCAAAAGACUCUCGACAUCAUAAAAGCCGUCAUUCUUGAUGCUGAGGAGAAGCAGGAGAGCAACCUUGUUGUGAAAAACUGGAUAAGUAGACUGGAAGAUAUUGUCUCUGAUGCAGAGGACUUACUGGACGAAUUCGACUAUGAGAUCCUGCGCCAGAAGGUGCGUCCACGGGGACAGGUACGCAAGAUCUUUCGAUCCUUCAGGAUGGGUCCUAGAGUUAAGGAGAUUAGAGAGAGGCUGGACGUGGUUGCAAGAGAGAUUAAAACGUUUGAUUUUAAUGUGAGAGUUGUAGAACUGGAUAAGAAACGUAAGAAUACUGACAGAGAGACUGCCUCAAAGGUGAGACCGGAAUUAGUAAUAGGGAGAGAGGAAGAUAAAGAGCACAUUAUAGAAUUGUUGAAGGAGCAAAAUCAUGGUGACAGCAACUUCAAUAUUAUUGCCAUUGUUGGGUUUGGAGGUUUAGGAAAGACCUCGCUUGCCCGGUUGGUGUAUAACGAUGCGCAAGUAGCAGAUUCCUUCAAAGGGAUAUGGGUGUGUGUUUCUGAAGAAUUUAAUGUUCUUAUAAUUUUCAAAAAAAUUUUGAAGUGUCUAGGAGAACACAAAGUGGAUGACUGGAAUCUAAAUGAAGUCCAAAAAGAAAUUGAACAAAAGUUAAAAGGGAAGAGAUAUUUACUUGUGUUGGAUGAUGUGUGGAACGAAGAUAUUUUAAAGUGGAAUGAUUUUUCACAGUAUAUGGUAUUUGGUGCUCCCGGAAGCAAAAUUAUUGUGACAACUCGUAGCACCAAAGUUGCAGCUACUAUGGGGGUACACAGUCCUUUCCUUUUAAAAGGUCUCAAUGAGGAACAAUCUCAGGAUUUGUUUGAGAAAGUGGCAUUUGAAGGACGUCAAAUCGAUCCAAAGCUUGGACAAAUUGGAAAAGUUGUUGCACAAAAAUGCAAAGGAGUUCCUCUUUCUAUUAAAUGUUUAGGAGGUUUGAUGAGACAAAAGCCUGAUGAAAAAUACUGGUUGUUUGUCCAAGAAAAUGAAAUUUGGAAUAAUGAUGAUGUUUUGUCGGUGUUAAGAUUGAGUUACAUUCAGCUACCAAGUAAUUUAAAACAAUGUUUUGCUUUUUGUUCGCUUUUCUCAAAAGACUCUAGGAUAUAUAAAGAUGAGUUGAUUCAUUUUUGGCGAGCACAAGGUUACAUUCAAUUAGGGAAUAAAAAUGAGAAUGUACAAGAUAUUGGUGAUGAAUACUUUAAUGAUUUGCUGUCAAGAUCAUUUUUUCAAGAGGAGAGGAAAGAUGCAAAUGGGAAUAUCAUCUAUUGUAAAAUGCAUGAUCUUAUUCAUGAUCUUGCAUUAUUCGUUGCUGGUCGUUAUUUUCAUUGGAUGAAAAAUAAAAGAGAAAAAAUUUCAAAAGGAGUCCGUCAUGUGUCAUUAGAAAAAUAUUUUACAGUUGUUUUCACUCGAUCGAAAGCAAAAGUGAUAAGGACUUUAUUUCUCCGAGCAGACAUUUUCAUGGACUUAUUUAAUCGAAAGGUAACUUUUUCGAUCUUCAAUUGUUUACGCAUGUUGAAUUUGAAUUUGAUGAACAUUAAUAUUUUACCAGAUUCAAUUGGUGAACUGAAGCAUUUGAGAUACCUUGAUCUUUCUAGGAAUACUAGGAUGAAAGUGCUCCCAGAUGCAAUAGUCAAAUUGCACCAUUUGCAAACUCUAUUACUCAAUGGCUGCAGCAGUCUUAAAAAGUUACCAAGGGAUAUACGCCAAUUGAUUAGUUUGGAAUAUCUCAAAAUUGAUUAUUGCAAAGACCUAUCCGGCUUGCCAAAAGGGUUAGGGGAAUUGACUUCCUUACAAAGAUUGGACAGAUUUGUUGUGAACUGUGUUGAAGACAAUUUAUCAACUGCAGCCACGUUGAAUGAGUUGAGUAACCUAGACCUUGGAAGCUGCUUAAAAAUUGAACACUUAGAAAAGGUGAGGAAUGUGGAAUUAGAAUGUAAGGAGGCAAAUUUAAAGAAAAAUAAACGACUUCAGUCUUUGCAAUUAUCUUGGGAAUCUUUCUCUCCAACAACAGUGGCUAGUGAAAAGGAUGAGUCAUUGUUAAAUAUUCUUGAGCCACACCCGAAUUUGAAAGGGCUGAAGGUAUCCGGUUAUGGAGGAGCAAGGUUUUCGAGUUGGCUAUCUUCAUUGACUAAUUUAGUCCAACUUGAUAUAAACAAAUUUUGGAAUUGUCGAGACCUGCCACCCUUGGAUCAUUUUUCAUCUCUCAAGUCUCUCAGUCUUUAUCGUUCCAAUGCUUUAAAACACCUGCCAUCCUUGGAUCAUCUUUCAUCUCUCGAGUCUCUUUCUCUUGACCAGUUAGAUGCUUUAGAAUACGUGGCAGAUUCUUUUUCCUUGCCUUGCUCCACUUCAAGAGAACCAUUCUUCCUGUCCCUUAAGAAACUUUCAAUCUAUAAUUGUCCCAAUCUCAAAGGAUGGUGGAAGACAAAGAAUGAGAACCAAGGAUCAAUCGCUGAGCUGCCUUGCUUUCCUUGCCUUUUCCGGUUAAAAGUCCAAAAUUCCGGAAACUUAACCUCCAUGCCGCUGUUUCCAUCUCUCGACCAAGAUUUGACUUUGGAAGGUACUAGUAUAAGGCCUUUUCAACAAACAUUGAAGAUGAAGAUGACCGAGGCUAGCAUGAGAUCAGAAGAAGCAUCAUCAUCAUCAGGGAGCACUUGUCAUUCUUAUUCUUCAACUGCCCUUCCUCUCUCCAAUUUGAAGCAUCUGACUCUUUUUAAGAUUAAGGAUUUAGAAGCUCUGCCAAAAGAGUUCCUACAAAAUCUCGCUUCUCUUACAUUCGUAAGAUUGAAAGAUUGCCCUAAAUUGGAAUCGCUGCCAUCGCAAAAGAUGAGCUGCCUCACCUCUUUACAAGACUUGCUGGUUGAAAAUUGCUCUAAUCUGAGGGCUUUGCCGGAUUGGAUACUCAAUCUCACUUCCCUUGAAACACUUCAAAUUUGGAACUGCCUUGAAUUACAGCACAUGCCAAGAGGGACGCAUCAGCUUACCUCUUUAAAAAAAUUAUCCGUUGAAAAUUGCCCUAAUUUGAGGGCUUUGCCGGAUUGGAUACUCAAACUCACUUCCCUUAAAACACUUCAAAUUUGGAAGUGCCUCGAAUUACAGUACAUGCCAGAAGGGACGCCUCGGCUUACAUCUUUAGAAAAAUUAUAUGUUGACUGCCAUAAUUUGAGGGCUUUUCCAGACUGGAUACUUAAUCUCACUUCCCUCAAAGACCUUUACAUAUGUGAGUGCCUUCAAUCACCGUACUUGCAAGAAGGGAUGCAAAGCCUCACCUCUUUAGAACGAUUGAUGGUUGAUUAUUGCCCUAAUCUCAGUUCUUCCACACAUUCUCUCAAAGCACUUCUAAUUCGGGGGUGCCCUGAUUUAAGCUUCUGGAGAACGAGGCAUUCCCUCUCCACUUUAGAAGAAUUGAAUGUUCAAAAUUGCCCUAAUCUGGAGGAUUUGCUGAAUCGCAUAUCAUUUUUUAUCCCUCCCCUCAAAACACUAAAGAUUUGUAAGUGCCCUCAAUUACAAGACUUGCCAGAAAGGAUAGAUGGCCUUACCUCUUUACAAGUUUUGUCAAUCUGUGAAUGUCCCCGGUUGUCGAAAAGAUGUGAAAAGGAGACCGGAGUCCUAUGGCCUCGCAUUGCUCGCAUCCCAUCUAUUAUAAUUGAUGGGCGACAGAUUCAAUGAUGAUCAUAGCAUAUAGAAGUAAAACCAAAAUUAAAUGGAAAAGGAUCGCAAGACGGAUUGCUUCUAUCACAGAGAUUCUAAGUAAUUGAAACACUGGUGAAAUAAGCUGAGAUGUGAGAGUGACUAUCCCUGAAAAUUUGCAGCUACAAGUUUGUUAGAGGGCCUAUCUCCAGUCAAGACUCCUGAGCUGAAAGCUAGUAAUAAGAGAAACUAAUUUGAAUGUCUGCUUGUACAUUUCCUGCUGUAUUUGUUGCGAUGAGGAGAUAUUGCUAUAGGAUGAUUUUAUCUUGCUAAUGUCCUCCCAGAGCAGACUGUUGUUAAUUUGAAACCAAGAGAAAUUUCUAUUGAUUGAGAGAGUGCGUAUUGAUUUCAACUUACAAAUGCCAUUGUGAAGAACAGUGCUGCAAUCCAUGGAUUGGAAGCUUUACUCUUAACAGCGUCAUCACUGUCUAUGUUACAGUUUGAUGGAAAUUCUAUAUUACAACGAUUGCACAGCAUGCGACUCUUUCACCUUUCCUUCCCAAGAAGUGAGCCUUGGUCUAACGAACUUGAAUUUAAGAAAAAUAAGAGGUGUCAUGACUUGCUCACCAACUCCCUUUUGAGGCAUUCUUGAAAUGCAGAAAAAGAAGAGGUGCCAAUGACUUGUUCGCCAACUCCCUUCCAGUCAUUUUUGAAAUUUACCUGUGAAUGGAGUCUCGCAACAUUUGCUAAUUAGUGGCUCAAGUGAUUGGGAGAAGUGCCUGGAGAGCUAAGCUGGUUGGAAAACCCGUUUGCUUCUUUCAAAAAUCAAUGUCAAUGGUUCCAUCUUGGCGAUUCUUGGAGGUUUUUGAGCAGUGGCUUCGAUUCUAGUCUUUAGGGCUUUACUUAAUUAACCCAAACUGUUAAAGAGGACCUAAAUACAAAGGUUCUUUCAUAAUGGACAUAUGGAGAAGACUUUUGGGAUACUAUUCUAGGAUUUACAAUUUGCUAAAUUUGGGUGCUGCAGCUACUGUAACCUCCUGCAUCAUAGUAAAAUCUCUUUCACCCUUUGACUGUGGAUGUAGGCUAUUAAGUCGAACCACGUAAUUUGUCGCGUGUUUUUUUAUACUAAAUUGUUCCCUUGCUAA